GGCUGAUGUUGCUGUUAUAUUGGUUGUCAAUUCCCCCCCAAAGGAGGGAAGUGAGGAGCUGUGUGUGGGCGGGUAAGAUCCGUAUGAAACGGCGAAUCAAUACUUUAUUAUGCCUCUAAGAGCUCCGCAAUCUGUCCUGAGCGCACUAGCUGACCGGGGGUUAGUUGGUUUUCUGUUGUGUAAACUAAAAGUGGCUACCUGCACACUCGGAAAUCGUGAACUUUCUUUGCACUCUGCCGGCGCCUAGCACUCGGUUCUGCAUGUCUUGGGGCAGGCUUAGAGACGGCGCACACCGACGGGACAUACGGAGUGAGACGGAUGCAUGCAAAGUGGCAGCUGAGCUGAAGCCACAUUUGCUGCACAUUUAAAUCGUACCACCACGUACCACGUUUGGCACAAUAACGGCUGACUUGAACGCACAGCAUGGGCGGAGAACCCCCUGGAGGGAGCAGCAGCAGCAGCGUCGGCGAAAGUGGACAGGAGCAGUACCAGGCUUUAGCCUUCGACACCGCCGUCAGUACUCUAGUGGCUGUAGCCGUGUACGUGGUGGUCAAAGUCAGCCUGGACGGCUUCAGACAGUGGCGCUCCAAGAUCUCCGUGUUAAUAGUGGGCUCGGGACCGAUCGGCCUGACCGCAGCGUUGGUCGCUGUCCGCUCGGGGAAGGUGCUGAAGCUGACAGUGCUCGACGAGCGGUGCCGGAGCGCCCUGCUCUGCCGGCCCCAGCAGAUCGCCCUGGACCCCCGCAGUGUGGGGUUUCUGCUGGGGUUAGGGGUGGACUUUGAUAAUAUGGAGGGGUGCUGGCACAACGAGCACUUUUUCACCAAGAUCGGGGUGUUUCAGGAGUAUUUGUUGAGCAUCUUGGAGCAGAAGAAGCAGAAGGUCGACGUCCGUGUACAGCUGGGAACCAAGGUGCCCACCCCAGAGAUCCGGGCUCACCGGCUCUACUUUGACCUGUCGGCCUACGGGGUAGAAGCGCUCCGGGACCACAAGAACCACGCCUCCAAGCCCGGCUUCCACCUGAAGAUCUACGGAACCUUGCGGAGCCGCUACAUGGCGCUGGUGUGCCCGGCCUCCGACACCAAGAUGGUGCGCUUCCUGUGUCACACCGCCAACGCCUCGAUCAUGAAGAACAUCUUCCACCAGUCCUUCAACGCCUACAAGACGGACAUCGAGCCGCGGCUCAGCGACCUCACGCUGCACCGCCUUCAGUGCAGCCGGCGCCUCUUCGAGGUGCAGCUGUCGCACCGCCAUGUCAGCGCGGCCUACAUCCAGGGGGACAACGUGGCCGUCACCGUGGAGGGCGAGGCCGCCCGCGUCCUCAACUUCGACACAGGUUGUGGUGUGAAUCUGGGCAUGCGCGGUCUUGAGUCUCUGAAAACGUUUAUCUACAAGACGGCCACAGCUGUCGAUCAGAACGACGUUCUAGAAGCGCUGGCCGCUAAAAUCAAACACUCCCGGCAAGUAUCAGAGACCUUCAAGCAGACGGGCCUGUUAGAGUCCAUGUACGAGUAGGCCUCGAAGCUUGUGAAGAACCAAUAUCGCCACCUUGUGGUGAGAUGAGUGCUACUGCACUACAAUGUUGAUAAAAUGUCUUUACCAGUGCUGUGAUGAGUCUUAUGUUUACUGAAUCGAAAUAUGGGUAAAAAAUAUUAUUAUUAUACAGCAUAACAUACAACCAAUGGACUGCAAUUAUGUGGCGCUCUCCUAAAAUGGCCACUCAUAGCGCUUUACAAUUAUUGCGUAAUAUUCACCCAUUCAUACACACAUUUACGGUUUCACCAAAGGAAAGCUCGUCGGGAGCAGUCGGGGUGAGGCGUCUUGCUCAGGGACACCCCGACACUCAAGUCAAGUCAACCCGCUGGAACUCUUGAGCUACUGCCGCCCAACCGGGUUAGUUAAGAGACAUUAACCAACAGUUCAUCACAACUAAAAAUAUUUUCGUAAAAGAAUGUCAAGAUUAGCAGCCUUUUUCUUUUUUUGAUCCCAAUAGCAGCAAUUGUAAUUUUUUUAUUUAUUUUUUUAUUCAUUGUUCAACUAUGUUGGGGAACCUUUGUAUAGUCACUGUUUAUACACUGUCUUGAUGUUGCUCCGCUUAAAUAAACUGUCAUUGUGCUAUGCUUUUCUUAGUCACAGAUUAGAAAAAUGCAGUUUCAGGUGUUGAUGUAAUAAUUACACACUGGCCAGACAUUUAUUUGGGUUAGGAUUAGGUUAGAUAAAAUGUUCAGCAGAUCUAAAGGUGUUUUCAUUGCAGGUGUGCACCAGUUGGUGCUAUAUAAAUGGUACCUAGUUCCUAUAUAGGUCCUAUAUAUGGGACCAGAUAAUAUAUAUCUAAGUUGCAUUUAUGAGUCCUUAUAAUGGCUGGGGUCAGAGGUUAAAGUGCCACAAAAUAACUUGUCAG
ensembl:lncRNA